GGGGCACCUAAAUCAGUCAUACUGAUUUUCUAUUUAGCAUAGGUCAACCUCAAUCAUUAAGUGAUCUAAUCAAAAUAUGAUUGACCAUAUUGGUCAGAUAAGUGAAAUCGAUGGGAGGGAUAUGCCAUUAACUUAUCAUAGACUUAAUCUAUGCGAGUAGCUCUCAAUUAGUGACCAUCGAUCAAGACCGCCAAACUUAUCUUAGACACCAACUGGUUAACCAGUUUCAAUUUGAUAAACUUAUAGACUUGGCUUCGACCACAGAGCUAUAAUCAAAGUUCAUUUUGGUCUAGUCAAAGAUAU
rnacentral:lncRNA from 1 species